GAGGACCGGCGGGCGCGACACGCCGGCGCCAUGUCAGCCCGAGGAGUGGCGGUGCUGCUUUCUUGGCUGAGCUGCUGCGGCUCGGCCUUGUGGAGGUAUUCCAGUAACAGCCCAAACUACCGCAUUUUUAGUACCAGAAGUACUAUUAAGUUAGAGUAUGAAGGAACAUUAUUUUCUGAGUGGAGUGUGCCAAGAACUUGUUCUAUAAAAAAUAAAAGUUCACCCAAGACAGAACUGCGUUGUUCUUCUCCUGGUGUUCAGACGAUAAGACCAAUUGUUACGGGUCCAGAUUUAGAAGAAGAACGCUAUUUAUCUGUGGACGUAUCUCAUACUUGCUUUCUGUGGUAUUAUAAUGUUAUAAAUUUCAUUCACAACUUAACCCAGGUUGUCACUGUAUGGAUAUAUGAUCCAGAAAACGCAGACCCUAAUGAGUUGCUACGGAAUGCAAAUGAACCUUCCCUAAAUUCCAUAAUACUUAGCAAGCAAUUUGCUACUUUGGGACAGAAGCCUACCAUACAAACAUUUCUGGAGAGAAAAGUUUAUUUUCCACAUAGACAAAUGAAGAAUGGAGCCUGGCAGAUCACAAUACCAAUGAACUCAGAUGUGCUAAAGGAGAUUGAGGGAAAUCAAGUGGCUUUUCAAGACUGCUUUAUUGCAGACAUUCUUUUCCUGCUGACUACUCCUUUGUUGACAAUGCCCGAGAUUCCUGGUUUUCUACCAAUCUCUUCGCCGCAGGGUAGUCAGCUAAUAGCAGACUGGGCUGCUUGUGUUCCUUCGUCAGUUGUUGUGGUGGCUGAUAUGGAGACCUUUCAGACAAAUAAUUCAUUCCAUACUUGGACCAGAAUCAGAGUGCCUCCAAACAUUCUGACUGAUGAUGAAAGACACAGUGUGUCUGAUGUGACCUUAUCAGAAGAUGGAAUAUUUUUUUUAAUAAACGAUAUUCUUUACAUAAAAAAAUUUAGCGCAUUUACAAGACUGGGAGAAGAUGUAAAUCUUCCUAAUGGUGGAAUUAUUGGGAUUACAUCAAGAAAAUGGUGUUGGGUCAAAUAUUUAUUGAAGGAUAAAGGAAGAAGAAGCAACAUGGCAGUCUGGACAGAAAAUGAGGUUUAUCUUGGAUAUACUUCUCUUGAGUUUGUUAAAAUAAUAACUACUGAAAAGCUGAAAGAACUUCUCAAUCUGUCAUCAGCUGCUACUCUGACUAUACACAAUGUUGAGUAUACAGGACACCCUUUGGAACUUGCCGUGUUAUUAAAUUACUGCAUGACAUGUAACGCCAUUAAAAAGAUUUACCUAGCGAUAUAUAAUGAAGAUACAAAACAGUGGGUAUACCAAGACUUUGCAUUAGAUGUCACUAUUGACACUUUUUUAAUUCCACAUUUUAUUUAUUCAGCAAUGCCAGAAUUAAUACUACAGGACAAACAUAGGAUCUACUACUAUUACCAUAAUUUCACAGAUACUGGAGUUGUACAAACACCUACAGAAUUUGGAAAUCUAUCAAGCUUAUCACAUAACAGCAUUAUUCAUGAUGUUUUCAUAGAUUAUUAUGGAAAUAUUAUGGUAAAAAUGGAAAACAAUGUGAUGUUUUAUUUCAAGAUCAACAUUAAAGAUGCACUAAAGCUACAUUUAUGGACAAAUAGCACAAUAAAAUCAUUGAUUUCCUUGAAUUCAUCUGGUCAAAUAUAUCUCAUAUAUGUUUUUGAAAAUGGCACGGUACAUCCACAGGAAUAUCCCUUAAAACUGGAAGCACAAAGUGUAACUUUCAACACAAAGGAAAAGUGCCCUUUCAUGGCAUUUCAUAAUAAUAUUUUUGGUGUUUUUUACUUUUUGGACAAAGGACAGAACCUGACAGUCUGGGCUCAAAUAGUCUAUCUAGAAAAUAUUGGUCUGUAUAUUAUUGUGGAAUCAUAUGGCCCAAAUAUACUAGAAAAGAAAGAUCACGUUCACUAUGAAAUUGCCUCAGGAUACUGCACCAAAACCAUGCAUGAGAACACAGGUCUUCUGCUUGUUCGGGUGAGACCUAGUGACUAUGCAAAAACAUGUCCAGUAGCCCCAAAGGUGUUCCAAAUAGCUGUUGGCUGUGAUGCUGGUAAAUUCAUUGCUGUCAAAGGAUUUAAUAAAAAAGAAUGUCUUCACUAUGACUUUUUUUACAUUAUUGAAAAGUCAUAUCUGAGGACUCGGCCAUCUAAACACUUGAGAGUACAGUAUAACUGGGAAAAAUAUGGCUGCCCACUGAGAGUUGAUUUCAGAGAAAAGUUUCACCCUUUGAUUCAAUUGUACAAUGAAAACGGCUAUGUGGAAGAUGUGGAAGUAAAUUUCAUAGUGUGGGAAAUACACGGCAGGGAUGACUACAGCUUUAAUACCACGAUGAAGAAGAACUAUAAACACUGCUUUUCUUAUGCUAUUGGAAAACCAGGAGACUUAAAUCAACCAUAUGAGAUUAUCAACAAGUCAAACCAUAACCAUUUAGUCUGGCCCUUGGACCAUUCUGGAAUGUAUGUGUUUCGUGUGAAGAUUCUGGAUCCAAAUUAUAGCCCAAGUGCUUACCUGGUUGCCGCUUUCCUCUUUCUCCUGAUGCUACUGUUCUUCACUAUUCUGGUUUUGAGCUACUUCCAUUAUAUGAGGAUUUACAGAGAAUAUAUUUAUGUCCCAUUUUACAAAUCUGAAAGGAAACCGAAGAAUAAUUAAGAAAAAAAGUUUAUUUUCUAUGAAUAUAUGUAUAUAGAGAGUGUGUAUAUAUACUUAUAUUGAGAGUAUGUGUUUGACCAAGAAAUACUAAGUAUAAGCUCACAGUAUCAUCAAAUUCAAAAUCUAAAAAAUGUUCAACUGCCCAAGACAGAAAUAUGUUCAUAUAUAAUCUAUGUUAUUAAACUAAUUAAUCCUUAAUGUAUUUGUUUUUAUCUUAAG
rnacentral:lncRNA from 1 species